rnacentral:rRNA from 1 species
AUUGAACGCUGGCGGCAGGCCUAACACAUGCAAGUCGAGCGGAUGAAGGGAGCUUGCUCCUGGAUUCAGCGGCGGACGGGUGAGUAAUGCCUAGGAAUCUGCCUGGUAGUGGGGGAUAACGUCCGGAAACGGGCGCUAAUACCGCAUACGUCCUGAGGGAGAAAGUGGGGGAUCUUCGGACCUCACGCUAUCAGAUGAGCCUAGGUCGAAUUAGCUAGUUGGUGGGGUAAAGGCCUACCAAGGCGACGAUCCGUAACUGGUCUGAGAGGAUGAUCAGUCACACUGGAACUGAGACACGGUCCAGACUCCUACGGGAGGCAGCAGUGGGGAAUAUUGGACAAUGGGCGAAAGCCUGAUCCAGCCAUGCCGCGUGUGUGAAGAAGGUCUUCGGAUUGUAAAGCACUUUAAGUUGGGAGGAAGGGCAGUAAGUUAAUACCUUGUUGUUUUGACGUUACCAACAGAAUAAGCACCGGCUAACUUCGUG